UUCACACCUCUCAAAAAUGAUCCAUUAAUAAGGUUGAUCAAGUCUUAUUAACAACAACUUUCGAUUAAUAUGAAACCGAAGAAAUUUCGUAAAUCGCUAAGUUACCUCAAUGGGGAUAUGAAUGUCCCCCACAAUAAGCAUUUCAUAAUACUUUUUAAUAGUAGGUAGAGAUAGUUGAAAACUUUCAAUAUUGAUUGUCGGAGAUUUUUCAAUAACAUUAAUAGCAUUCACUUGGAAUUGUUUCUUCGGAAAGUGCACCGUAUGCUCAUUACCAUUGAUAUGAAAAGAGACCUUCCUUUUAUUCCAAUCAAUAACAGCCCCUGCAGU
rnacentral:lncRNA from 1 species